rnacentral:rRNA from 1 species
CCUACGGGAGGCAGCAGUAAGGAAUAUUGGUCAAUGGACGAAAGUCUGAACCAGCCAUGCCGCGUGCAGGAUGACUGCCCUAUGGGUUGUAAACUGCUUUUAUAUAGGAAGAAAAACUUUCUCGUGAGAAAGCUUGACGGUACUAUAAGAAUAAGGAUCGGCUAACUCCGUGCCAGCAGCCGCGGUAAUACGGAGGAUCCAAGCGUUAUCCGGAAUCAUUGGGUUUAAAGGGUCCGUAGGUGGACAAAUAAGUCAGAGGUGAAAUCCUGCAGCUCAACUGUAGAACUGCCUUUGAUACUGUUUGUCUUGAGUUAUUAUGAAGUGGUUAGAAUGUGUAGUGUAGCGGUGAAAUGCAUAGAUAUUACACAGAAUACCGAUUGCGAAGGCAGAUCACUAAUAAUUAACUGACACUGAUGGACGAAAGCGUGGGUAGCGAACAGGAUUAGAUACCCUGGUAGUCCACGCCGUAAACGAUGGUCACUAGCUGUUUGGACUUCGGUCUGAGUGGCUAAGCGAAAGUGAUAAGUGACCCACCUGGGGAGUACGUUCGCAAGAAUGAAACUCAAAGGAAUUGACGG